GGCCUAACACAUGCAAGUCGAACGAUAUCAUCCAGCUUGCUGGAUGAGAAAGUGGCGCACGGGUGCGUAACGCGUAUGCAACCUACCUUAAUCUGGGGGAUAGCCCGGAGAAAUCCGGAUUAAUACCGCAUAAAAUCACAGGAUGGCAUUAUCCAAUGAUCAAACAUUUAUGGGAUUGAGAUGGGCAUGCGUGUCAUUAGCUAGUUGGCGGGGUAACGGCCCACCAAGGCGACGAUGACUAGGGGAUCUGAGAGGAUGGCCCCCCACACUGGUACUGAGACACGGACCAGACUCCUACGGGAGGCAGCAGUGAGGAAUAUUGGUCAAUGGGCGCAAGCCUGAACCAGCCAUGCCGCGUGCAGGAAGACUGCCCUAUGGGUUGUAAACUGCUUUUAUCCGGGAAUAAACCUUUCUACGUGUAGGAAGCUGAAUGUACCGGAAGAAUAAGGA
rnacentral:rRNA from 1 species